AGAGUUUGAUCCUGGCUCAGGACGAACGCUGGCGGCGUGCUUAACACAUGCAAGUCACGGGGGCUCGCAAGAGCAACCGGCGAACGGGUGCGUAACACGUGAGCAACCUACCGAUUUGUGGGGGAUAGCCGGCCCAACGGCCGGGUAAUACCGCAUACGCUUCUCGAGUCUCCUGACUUGAGAAGGAAACCUCCGGGGCAAAUCGAGGGGCUCGCGGCCUAUCAGCUAGUUGGCGAGGUCAUGGCUCACCAAGGCGACGACGGGUAGCUGGUCUGAGAGGAUGGCCAGCCACAUUGGGACUGAGAAACGGCCCAGACUCCUACGGGAGGCAGCAGUGGGGAAUCUUGCGCAAUGGACGAAAGUCUGACGCAGCGACGCCGCGUGGGGGAUGACGGGUUUCGGCUUGUAAACCCCUGUUGCCCGGGACGAAACGCUU
rnacentral:rRNA from 1 species